CGAGUGGCGGACGGGUGAGUAAUGUCUGGGAAACUGCCUGAUGGAGGGGGAUAACUACUGGAAACGGUAGCUAAUACCGCAUAACGUCGCAAGACCAAAGAGGGGGACCUUCGGGCCUCUUGCCAUCGGAUGUGCCCAGAUGGGAUUAGCUAGUAGGUGGGGUAACGGCUCACCUAGGCGACGAUCCCUAGCUGGUCUGAGAGGAUGACCAGCCACACUGGAACUGAGACACGGUCCAGACUCCUACGGGAGGCAGCAGUGGGGAAUAUUGCACAAUGGGCGCAAGCCUGAUGCAGCCAUGCCGCGUGUAUGAAGAAGGCCUUCGGGUUGUAAAGUACUUUCAGCGGGGAGGAAGGGAGUAAAGUUAAUACCUUUGCUCAUUGACGUUACCCGCAGAAGAAGCACCGGCUAACUCCGUGCCAGCAGCCGCGGUAAUACGGAGGGUGCAAGCGUUAAUCGGAAUUACUGGGCGUAAAGCGCACGCAGGCGGUUUGUUAAGUCAGAUGUGAAAUCCCCGGGCUCAACCUGGGAACUGCAUCUGAUACUGGCAAGCUUGAGUCUCGUAGAGGGGGGUAGAAUUCCAGGUGUAGCGGUGAAAUGCGUAGAGAUCUGGAGGAAUACCGGUGGCGAAGGCGGCCCCCUGGACGAAGACUGACGCUCAGGUGCGAAAGCGUGGGGAGCAAACAGGAUU
rnacentral:rRNA from 1 species